rnacentral:rRNA from 1 species
CAAUAGCGUAUAUUUAAGUUGCUGCAGUUAAAAAGCUCGUAGUUGGAUUUCGGGUGGGAAUGGCCGGUCCGCCGUUUCGGUGUGCACUUGCUACGCCCACCUUGCUGCCGGGGACGUGCUCUUGAGUUCACGCUCGGGACACGGAGUCGGCGAGAUUACUUUGAGUAAAUUAGAGUGUUCAAAGCAGGCCUACGCUCUGAAUACAUUAGCAUGGAAUAACACGAUAGGACUCUGGCCUAUCUUGUUGGUCUGUAGGACCGGAGUAAUGAUUAAGAGGGACAGUCGGGGGCAUUCGUAUUUCAUUGUCAGAGGUGAAAUUCUUGGAUUUAUGAAAGACGAACUACUGCGAAAGCAUUUGCCAAGGAUGUUUUCAUUAA